rnacentral:sRNA from 1 species
AUUCGGACAGAAAACAUCAGAAGGAAAACCUUUAUAUGGCCCAAUGUCAAAGAUUCCAUCCGGUGUCAUUUUCCUUGUACCGGAAGUAUUUAAUUUGGCAUUUCUCAUGGCCUGCUAGCUGGCUAAUUUCUUUCAGCAUUUGUUUAUGAAAUAUAUAGCUAAAAUAGAAAUAUUUGUAAAGAGGAAAACCUGAAGAUCAGUAAUCUAAAUUAACAGCAAAAUAUAAUCAAAGAAAACAAAAGAAGAAAAAUAAUAAAGAUCUCAACUGAGAGCCUCCCAUUGUCAGAUUUUGACCUAGGACCAUCUUGGAAAAGGAUUCUUCUGUGAUUCAGAGGUGAAGCCCUUACAGUGAGGUUUCUUACUAAGCGAUUCAUUGGAGAAUAUGCUUCUAAUUUUGAAUCUAUCUAUAAGAAGCACUUGUGUUUGGAAAGGAAACAACUAAAUCUAGAAAUAUAUGACCCUUGUUCUCAAACACAGAAAGCAAAAUUCUCCCUCACAAGUGAGCUUCACUGGGCAGAUGGGUUUGUUAUUGUGUAUGACAUCAGUGAUAGGUCUUCAUUUGCUUUUGCAAAAGCACUGAUCUACAGAAUCCGGGAGCCACAAACUAGUCAUUGUAAAAGAGCUGUGGAAUCAGCAGUGUUUUUGGUUGGCAACAAACGAGAUCUUUGUCAUGUGCGAGAGGUUGGCUGGGAAGAAGGGCAAAAGCUGGCACUGGAAAACCGAUGCCAAU